rnacentral:rRNA from 1 species
CGUACGGGUGAGUAACACGUGGGUAAUCUACCUCUUAGUGGGGAAUAACCAGGGGAAACGUCUGGCUAAUACCGCAUAAGCCUGAGAAGGGAAAGCAGCAAUGCGCUGAGAGAGGAGCCCGCGGCCGAUUAGCUAGUUGGUGAGGUAAGAGCCACCAAGGCAUAGAUCGGUAGCCGGCCUGAGAGGGCACACGGCCACACUGGCACUGAAACACGGGCCAG